rfam:Oryza glaberrima chromosome 3 Oglab03_0048_16, whole genome shotgun sequence.
GCGCUUGGCGAAUUCACAGGCCCUAUCUUGUGGUAUGAACUGGGUACGCGAUGAUUUACACUGCGUAUUGGGGGCUUACCAUAAGAUAAUGCCAUGAAUUUGUCAAGCGU